AUACGGGGGGGGCAAGCGUUGUUCGGAAUUACUGGGCGUAAAGGGUUUGUAGGUGGCUCGCUAAGUCACACGUGAAAUCCCUCAGCUUAACUGGGGAACUGCGUGUGAGACUGGUGAGCUCGAGUGCAGGAGAGGAACGCGGAAUUCCAGGUGUAGCGGUGAGAUGCGUAGAUAUCUGGAGGAACACCGGUGGCGAAGGCGGCGUUCUGGACUGCAACUGACUCUGAAAAACGAAAGCCAGGGGAGCAAACGGGA
rnacentral:rRNA from 1 species